UUUGAUCAUAUGUCUGUGUCUAGUGAAGUAUAUGAGCCCAUCUUACCUCUCAGACCUGGGACGACACCACCGCGUACAACUCGUGUAUUGUAGAACUGAGUUCGACUCCAGGUUGGCAGUGAUUCUAUCUGUGUUCUCUCCUGCAUCUCCAGGACCAACAACAGCAAAGGGGCCUACCUAAUGAAAAGGAUAUUUUCAUGGUGGGGAAUAUGAGUGAGCUGACGUGGAAUAGAAGAUGUCCGGUGCUUGUAUGUAUGUGCUUCUUUAUGUGUCUUUAAUCUGUGUGCCUCUGUUGUGUAUAUAUUCUGCAUCUGUGUGUGGAUGUCUCUGUGCAUGUCUUUAUGUGUGUCUCUCUAUGCCUGUGUCUGUGUUUGUCUGUGAAUGUCGGUAUGUGUGUCUGUGUCUGUGUGAAAGGCAUCUGCUAGCUCCACCAGGAAGCCUCACGAUCAUCCAGGUGAGACAUGAUUACAGGGCAGCCAAAUGACCAAUCGUUUCCCAGCUGAAUGGUAAUUGGACAUUUUAGACUCCAGGGCCUUGGUAUCCUCCACCACAGCUUCCUCUGCACUGUUACCUCACCACAGGAGAGUGACUUAAGCUACUUAUGGGUAAUCCAGCUUUCAGCCCCCCUCACCCACCGCAGCUGCCAGCCCCUCACUGGGCAGAGUUGGGUUUCUGCAUGAGGAUGCUGAUGUCUUCUCCCGUACCAUUUACAUCUUGGGGAGUUGACAGCCUUUGCCCGGAGCUGAAGCCACACCAUUAGGCCCCAGUACAUCAACCUUCAUCCUUCUACCACAAGUCUGGGGCUGGCAGCGUCCUCACCAAAUUGGCUUCUCUAGUUCCCUGGCCCAAAUUGAUUAAUCAUCAGGCAGUUUUAGCUAUCAGCCCUGCUGCAAUUGGCAUAUUUAUUUCUAAUCAGCUCUUAAAAAUGGCAUCAUUCAGAGGUGCUUAACCACAUUACUUAAUUCUCAGCCUGUAUUGCUAUUGAUUUCAAAUAUUCUCCUUCAGAUAUGGCUCAUCACUUAAUGCAGAAGUCUGUUUAUAUAAUAAUCUUAUCUGGUUACUAAAAUCUGUGAAAUCUCUUCAAUUGCCUCUAAUGCAAGAUUGGAGGCUGGUUGCUAAAUGAGUCAAUUUUACUUUAAUUUGGUUUAUUUACAGUACAUGUUUUAAUGCCGCACAUUCCCAUCUUCCACAGCAAAGCUGAAAAGAAAGGCAAAUAUAGGCGCAGAGAGAGGCAUGCACUUUUCUCUGUCUGGAGGAAUGGAGGAGGCCAGUUGGCAGGGCUUCCCAAAUGACAUGAAACUUUGGGCCUCUAGUGACCCGUUUGACAUGCCUACCAAGGCCCUCAAGGUCCACAGUAUUGGUACAGUUCUGUCAAGAGUGCCCAAGGAAUCACAUGGUCCCAGAUCUUCCAUUUUGUACAGGUGAGACAGCUGCUCACAAUGCAGAGUCUUCCCUAUCUGGGAAGUGGGGCUGAUGUAAGAUUUUUCCAGGUCCCUUGGGAAGACACCACCAUGAGACUCUGACGUCGAUGAGCAUGCAGCAAAGGUGCUGCACAACAUACCUCUGCCAUUUCCACUCCACUGGCAAGGCCCCCACAAGCACCAUUUCCUACUGUGCCCACACCUCUGCUCUGAGGUUGACUGAAGACUCCUGGGAGUUUCCUUUAGAACUACGGAGGCCUUUUGGUCUGCAAAGGACAGAGGCCAACAGUUCUAAGUUUGCCGAGUUUCCUAAGCUUUAAACUCUAAACUAUAGAGUGAGGCACAGCCAGUUCUCUUGGAAGAGCAAAGAUAGGUCCUGAGGUAGGAACUCAGACCUGAGGCUCACAGACCCUACAAUCUCUGCCUUCAAGUAUUCUUACAGCAUCUCUGUUCUUAACCAGAAACCUCUGUAUCAGUCUUCUGUCCCUGUGCACCAUCCUUCUCAUAGGCUUCUUCCUGGUCCUGCUCCCUCUGCCUGUGGAGAACAGGCUCUCGUGUCAUUGAUUAUUGGUGGCCUGAAGACCAUGUCCCUGGGACCAGAUGUCUGUCCCUGGUCCCGUCACCUGUGUCUGUGAUAGAGAACCCGGCUGCACUUCAAAUGCAAAGCUGGUAACAGCAACAUCUGCAGAAGGCUAGGGGAGCAUCAGGCCCUGGCUCUGAAUCACCCUUGCCUUCUAGAGACCCAAUUGGCAGAGUAAUCCGGAUGCCACCUCCUGGCACAGCAGUGGCCAGCUGUGCAGCCCGGGGCAAGCAACUUCCUCUCAGUGCAUCUUGGAUUCCUCCACAUUGGGCACAAAUGCUUCGGAUGGUAUUGGGAGUUGCAGAAAGGAGCCAGGGAGUGGCAAGCAAGGGCCCAGCAGGUCCUUGCCAGAUGCCUGUGACUGGCUGUACCACUCAACACCUGGAGGCACCCAUGUGUCUGCCCGGGCGUGUCUUCUAUCCCCUCCUUGGUUCUGCCCCUCUGUGACCCUCUCCUCACCCGAGUCUCAAAGCAUGGGUGGAUGGUUUGAUGUUAACUGGCCUGGAUGAAAUGCUUUCUGCUGGCAAUUGCCUUCAUUGCCUGCUAUAAAAUUACAUCUAUAUUUAAAUAUGCU